UAGCAAGGAAUUUCCCUCCUGUUGUACUCACCGGAGAUUCUUAAACUUAUCCAAAAGAAAACAAAAGUCGCCAUCUAGGGGAAUGGAGAAUUGCAGCAAUUACAAUACUUUGGCCCUGUGCAUUUUAGGUGGGCUACAUCCUCCCCCCCUGAAUGUGCAUGCGUCCUGCAUGUACCUAUACAUACUUAAAUAGUAGUCAUUUGAUCUGUUCCUAAAGGUGUAAACUUCAGUGUGGGAUGUAAGUCCAAAGCUUUUGUAAAAGCCUGAUCAAGACCCUUCAACAAGGAGUGCAUAACUAAAGUCAAGGGGUUUCCUAACGUCUGGUUCCUCUUGGUCUCCAUGUUCUUUUUCAGGUCAUUAGGCAAGUCAUCACCCUCUUCCACUUCCUGAAGCUCUUCUUGCCAGUUCUCUGUUGGCAGAAAUACCUCAGCUUCGGGUCUCAGACUUGAUUCCCCAGGGCUUGCGUUGAGAUUUUCCUCUCCUGAAAAAGGCCUAAGGUCAGUCUGAGGGAUUUCAUGGACAACAGUGACAGGUGGGUAAGUUGUCACCAGCAUUUCCCCUGGGUAUUCGUAAUCGACUUCCUCCUCACUCUCGUAUGAUUCCAGCUGUUCUUCAAUAACAAAGUAAGUUAACGCAUUACAAUUUUAAUUUCAGUAAUUCGUUAAUUACUGAAUAACUGUAACGUCCAUUCCUGCGUUACUCACAACAUCUGUAAUGCGUUAUAUUGACUUAUUUUUUCCAUGAUUGCUUAUUUAAAAUAUAGAUUAGCCUACAUUAUUUAAUAGAGGUGUGCGUAGUGUAGCACGGGGACUGUUCAGAGGUAUUGAUGGCAUAGUUUAACAAGUAAUCACAUUUGCCAUUAUGUG